CCCCUCUCUCUGCAGACACCAGGACUUCAGGCGAUAUGGGCUGAGAUUUUAGCGCUGAAUACUGACGAGUUUAAAAAUCUUGCUGAAAAUCGUAGCUCACAAGAGUGUAUUAACGAGUCGUCUGCACCUCGGACAGUUCAUGAAGACGCAC